UGCUUUUCNGCUUCUUCAUUAGUGCCUAAGC
rnacentral:piRNA from 1 species